AUCGAUGUUUUUCCGAUGUUCGAUGUUUUUUAAUUUUCCCAUCACUGUGAAAAAAGCCGCGCAAUAGGUAGCCGAGUUCACUCCAUUUUGACUCUUCGUCAAUACUUCAAUGAAGAAAACUUGGAGUCUAGCUUAGAUUACUGGAAGAUCUCAAAUGGUAAAUCAUUAAAAAAAUGUAUACUGCAAUAUUUCUGCGUUCCGGCAACAUCCACUGAAAGCGAACGUAUGUUCAGCAAAGCAGGCUUCAUGGUGAACAAAAAAGAAGUGCCUUGAAAAACAAGCAUGUUGACAUGCUUGUUUUUAUUAACAAAAAUUACUGGAUAUAAUACUUUUUUAGUUAAACUUCU